rnacentral:rRNA from 1 species
UACGUAGGGUGCAAGCGUUGUCCGGAAUUAUUGGGCGUAAAGAGCUCGUAGGCGGUUUGUCGCGUCUGCUGUGAAAACUCGGGGCUUAACCCCGGGCCUGCAGUGGGUACGGGCAGACUAGAGUGCGGUAGGGGAGACUGGAAUUCCUGGUGUAGCGGUGAAAUGCGCAGAUAUCAGGAGGAACACCGGUGGCGAAGGCGGGUCUCUGGGCAAUUCCUGACGCUGAGGCGCGAAAGCGUGGGGAGCAAACGGG